rnacentral:rRNA from 1 species
GACUCGUCACACUAUCAUUAACUGAAUCCAUAGGUUAAUGAGGCGAACCGGGGGAACUGAAACAUCUAAGUACCCCGAGGAAAAGAAAUCAACCGAGAUUCCCCCAGUAGCGGCGAGCGAACGGGGAGGAGCCCAGAGCCUGAAUCAGCAUAUGUGUUAGUGGAAGCGUCUGGAAAGGCGCGCGAUACAGGGUGACAGCCCCGUACACAAAAGCGCAUGUGCUGUGAGCUCGAUGAGUAGGGCGGGACACGUGGUAUCCUGUCUGAAUAUGGGGGGACCAUCCUCCAAGGCUAAAUACUCCUGACUGACCGAUAGUGAACCAGUACCGUGAGGGAAAGGCGAAAAGAACCCCGGCGAGGGGAGUGAAAAAGAACCUGAAACCGUGUACGUACAAGCAGUGGGAGCACAGGUUUACCUGUGUGACUGCGUACCUUUUGUAUAAUGGGUCAGCGACUUAUAUUCUGUAGCAAGGUUAACCGAAUAGGGGAGCCGGAGGGAAACCGAGUCUUAAUUGGGCGUUAAGUUGCAGGGUAUAGACCCGAAACCCGGUGAUCUAGCCAUGGGCAGGUUGAAGGUUGGGUAACACUAACUGGAGGACCGAACCGACUAAUGUUGAAAAAUUAGCGGAUGACCUGUGGCUGGGGGUGAAAGGCCAAUCAAACCGGGAGAUAGCUGGUUCUCCCCGAAAGCUAUUUAGGUAGCGCCUCGUGAAUUCAUCUCCGGGGGUAGAGCACUGUUUCGGCUAGGGGGCCAUCCCGGCUUACCAACCCGAUGCAAACUGCGAAUACCGGAGAAUGUUAUCACGGGAGACACACGGCGGGUGCUAACGUCCGUCGUGAAGAGGGAAACAACCCAGACCGCCAGCUAAGGUCCCAAAGUCAUGGUUAAGUGGGAAACGAUGUGGGAAGGCCCAGACAGCCAGGAUGUUGGCUUAGAAGCAGCCAUCAUUUAAAGAAAGCGUAAUAGCUCACUGGUCGAGUCGGCCUGCGCGGAAGAUGUAACGGGGCUAAACCAUGCACCGAAGCUGCGGCAGCGACGCUGAUGCGUUGUUGGGUAGGGGAGCGUUCUGUAAGCCUGCGAAGGUGGCCUGUGAGGGUUGCUGGAGGUAUCAGAAGUGCGAAUGCUGACAUAAGUAACGAUAAAGCGGGUGAAAAGCCCGCUCGCCGGAAGACCAAGGGUUCCUGUCCAACGUUAAUCGGGGCAGGGUGAGUCGACCCCUAAGGCGAGGCCGAAAGGCGUAGUCGAUGGGAAACGGGUUAAUAUUCCCGUACUUGGUGUUACUGCGAAGGGGGGACGGAGAAGGCUAUGUUGGCCGGGCGACGGUUGUCCCGGUUUAAGCGUGUAGGUGUGUGUUCCAGGUAAAUCCGGUUCACUUUAACACUGAGGCGUGAUGACGAGGCACUACGGUGCUGAAGCAACAAAUGCCCUGCUUCCAGGAAAAGCCUCUAAGCAUCAGGUAACAUCAAAUCGUACCCCAAACCGACACAGGUGGUCAGGUAGAGAAUACCAAGGCGCUUGAGAGAACUCGGGUGAAGGAACUAGGCAAAAUGGUGCCGUAACUUCGGGAGAAGGCACGCUGACACGUAGGUGAAGUGAUUUACUCAUGGAGCUGAAGUCAGUCGAAGAUACCAGCUGGCUGCAACUGUUUAUUAAAAACACAGCACUGUGCAAACACGAAAGUGGACGUAUACGGUGUGACGCCUGCCCGGUGCCGGAAGGUUAAUUGAUGGGGUCAGCGCAAGCGAAGCUCCUGAUCGAAGCCCCGGUAAACGGCGGCCGUAACUAUAACGGUCCUAAGGUAGCGAAAUUCCUUGUCGGGUAAGUUCCGACCUGCACGAAUGGCGUAAUGAUGGCCAGGCUGUCUCCACCCGAGACUCAGUGAAAUUGAACUCGCUGUGAAGAUGCAGUGUACCCGCGGCAAGACGGAAAGACCCCGUGAACCUUUACUAUAGCUUGACACUGAACAUUGAGCCUUGAUGUGUAGGAUAGGUGGGAGGCUUUGAAGUGUGGACGCCAGUCUGCAUGGAGCCGGCCUUGAAAUACCACCCUUUAAUGUUUGAUGUUCUAACGUGGACCCGUGAUCCGGGUUGCGGACAGUGUCUGGUGGGUAGUUUGACUGGGGCGGUCUCCUCCUAAAGAGUAACGGAGGAGCACGAAGGUUGGCUAAUCCUGGUCGGACAUCAGGAGGUUAGUGCAAUGGCAUAAGCCAGCUUGACUGCGAGCGUGACGGCGCGAGCAGGUGCGAAAGCAGGUCAUAGUGAUCCGGUGGUUCUGAAUGGAAGGGCCAUCGCUCAACGGAUAAAAGGUACUCCGGGGAUAACAGGCUGAUACCGCCCAAGAGUUCAUAUCGACGGCGGUGUUUGGCACCUCGAUGUCGGCUCAUCACAUCCUGGGGCUGAAGUAGGUCCCAAGGGUAUGGCUGUUCGCCAUUUAAAGUGGUACGCGAGCUGGGUUUAGAACGUCGUGAGACAGUUCGGUCCCUAUCUGCCGUGGGCGCUGGAGAACUGAGGGGGGCUGCUCCUAGUACGAGAGGACCGGAGUGGACGCAUCACUGGUGUUCGGGUUGUCAUGCCAAUGGCACUGCCCGGUAGCUAAAUGCGGAAGAGAUAAGUGCUGAAAGCAUCUAAGCACGAAACUUGCCCCGAGAUGAGUUCUCCCUGAGACUUAGAGUCUCCUGAAGGAACGUUGAAGACGACGACGUUGAUAGGCCGGGUGUGUAAGCGCAGCGAUGCGUUGAGCUAACCGGUACUAAUGAACCGUGAGGCUUAACCUUACA